GAUGAAGAACGUAGCAAAAUGCGAUACUUGGUGUGAAUUGCAGAAUCCCGUGAACCAUCGAGUUUUUGAACGCAAGUUGCGUCCGAAGCCUUUUGGCCGAGGGCACGUCUGCCUGGGCGUCACGCAUCGCGUCGCCCCCCACAAUUCUCCGUAAAGGGAACGUGUGUUUUGGGGGCGGAUAUUGGUCUCCCGUGCUCAUGGCGUGGUUGGCCGAAAUAGGAGUCCUUUCGAUGGACGCACGAACUAGUGGUGGUCGUAAAAACCCUCGUCUUUUGUUUCGUGCUGUUGCUCGCAAGGUAAACUCUUUAAAAACCCCAAUGUGUCGUCUCUUGACGACGCUUCGACCGCGACCCCAGGUCAGGCGGGACUACCCGCUGAGUUUAAGCAUAUCAAUAAGCGGAGGA
rnacentral:misc_RNA from 1 species